CCGGAGGUGUGUCUACUACAGGAAGCCCCUGUUAGUCAUAUUGUCUGUCCUGUAGGUAUGUAUACGGACCGGAGGUGUGUCUACUACAGGAAGCCCCUGUUAGUCAUAUUGUCUGUCCUGUAGGUAUGUAUAUGGACCGGAGGUGUGUCUACUACAGGAAGCCCCUGUUAGUCAUAUUGUCUGUCCUGUAGGUAUGUAUACGGACCGGAGGUGUGUCUACUACAGGAAGCCCCUGUUAGUCAUAUUGUCUGUCCUGUCGGUAUGUAUAUGGACCGGAGGUGUGUCUACUACAGGAAGCCCCUGUUAGUCAUAUUGUCUGUCCUGUAGGUAUGUAUAUGGACCGGAGGUGUGUCUACUACAGGAAGCCCCUGUUAGUCAUAUUGUC